GCCUGGGUGGCUCAGUCGGUUAAGCGUCUGACUUCGGCUCAGGUCACGGGUUCGAGCCCCGUGUUGGGCU